AUGGCGAGGCCUCCAGAAGAAUCAUGCAUGUGGGUCCCAAGAGGAACACCUGAGCCCUGCUGUCAUGAACGGCUUCACCACACAACCUUGCUGACGCCUCACAGAGAGUCCUCCCCAGAGGAGAUGGGAAAGCAUGAGAUAAGUGAUCUUAUCCUUUUCUACUUAGUCAUGGUUAGAAGACACACAGUGGAGAGCAGUGGUGAAUAAAAAACAAUUUUGUUUUAAAGUAAAGAUUCUAAUUUCAAGAUAAUUUCUUCAAAUGAGUAUUAAAUGCCUAGGGUGUGGCAGGUCAACUCCUCCACGUGGGGUGCUGUGCCCCUGCAUCCCCCCUUUGCAUGUUCCCCUCCAGCCGCCCUGAACUUUAUUCAUAUCCUUGAACAUAAGUAUCUCACACACUUGUGCACCUGCACAAAAACCCUGCACUCUUCCUGAUCUCAGCUCCGGGGGUGAAUAGCGAUUGUGUCUAAGGCCAAUCUUGGUGACCCAUUUCCCAUGCCGGUCAUUGGGUUGGGUAUCCCAAAGAAAUGGGAGGGAAAUGUGCUAGGGGAAGAGGACAUCCUGGGGAGGAUUUCCCCCACUAAUUAAACAAAAAACAUAUUAAGCAAAACGUUUCUCUUACUCUGCCAGACGUUGUCAUGUCUGUGUGUGAAGCCAAGAACCACUGCAGCCACUUUGUGACAAGAAGGGAGCUAAGCUGAUAUGAUGAGGACUGCGAAGUGGAAAGAUGGAAAGAAUCUAGUGGGGUUUUCUGGGGGUCGAUUUUUUUGAGGAAGAUUAGCCCUGAGCUAACAUCUGCUGCCAAUCCUCCCCUUUUUGCUGAGGAAGACUGGCCCUGAGCUAAUAUCCAUGCCCAUACUCCUCUACGUUAUAUGUGGGAUGCCUACCAAAGCAUGGCUUGACAAGCAGUGCCAUGUCCGCACCCGGGAUCCGAACCAGUGAACCCCGGGCCCUGAAGUGGAACGUACACACUUAACUGCUGCGCCACUGGGCCAGCCCCCAAAUCUGGUGUUUUGACAACUUGUUUCAGCCACUGGAUUAAUCACUCCUGCAGCUGUUGUAUCUCAAGACUUCUGGCUAAGUGAGUAAUGCAUUUUCCUUAUAGUUGUAGCCGUUUUGGAUUUUCUGUUCAUUGCCUCUAAAAGCAUCCCAACUGAUACAUUACUUGAAGUCCAUUUUUAAUGUUCUAAUUUAAUCAUAUAAAUAGGCA
rnacentral:lncRNA from 1 species